rnacentral:lncRNA from 1 species
AUGGUCACUGUUUGUGGCUGCCCAACGGUGCUGAAGACAGCACCCAGAGUGCUGGCAUGGGGAAGCCAAGGGUCCUGGCUCAGGCUUGCAGGAUGCAGCCCUAAAGUCAUCACCCACUCAGGCAGACCCCUCUUGCUCUGUCCUUUCAGACUGCUGCCAGAGAUCCAGGCAAUGCCUAAAGCCCCAGAGCAGCCUGUGAGCUGUGAGAUGCAGGGCCAGGCAGGAACCGGAAACCAAGAUGAACUUGGCCAAGCACAGAGAACUCAAUGUGUGAGGUUCCAUUCUGAAGAACAGGCAGCGGAAAACGACCACCAUGAGGGUGCACGGUUGAAAGUGAAAACCAAGACCUCACACCCUCGGGGCAUCUUGAGGAAGUCACCAUCUUCCAGAAAAGAUUCCACAUCUUCCUCAGGGCCUGAGUCCAGCCAGUCCAUGGAGACCAAAGGCAGACCUUCCAGGCCGGCACUUCGGGCUAAGGAUUCAUUCAAACUUAACCAGGAGAGGAUGAGGCGAGCACAGGAGGAACGUGAGAAGGAGACCAAAGACAGACCAACCAGGCUGGCACUUCGGGCUAAGGAUUCAUUCAAACUUCACAAGGAGAGGCUGAGGCGAGCAAAGGAUGAACGUGAGAAGGAGACCAAAGGCAGACCAUCCAGGCGGGCACGUCUAGCUCACGUUUCAUUCAAUCUUAACGAGGAGAGGAUGAGACGAGCAAAGGAUGAACGUGAGAAGGAGACCAAAGGCAGACCACCCAGGCGGGCACAUCUGCCUCAGGUUUCAUCCAGACUUUGCAAGGAGAGAAAGAGGCAAGCGCAGGAUGAACGUGAGGAGCCAGCAGCAUCUACAUCUCCUGAUGACUCCAGGCUGUCUGAGGAGUCCUCCAGUGACAGCUCUGGAUGGGUGCCACCCAGAAAUAAACUAAUAUGGACUCAGAACAACAUACACCCGCACACCCCCUGUUCCCCCAAGGCAAUGUGCACAGUUCCCUACCCAGUCUGGUGA